UGGGGUUCUGGGCUCCCCUAAACAUACAUGGGGGGAGGGUUUCAGUAGCCCCCACGCCAAGGGCGGGUAGCGUGAGCCUCAAACUCUGGCAACCCCCAUUUCCCUUCAGCUUUUCUAUGCCAUUUACCUGAUUCCGAGCCGACGCCCAGCCCCAGGAACCCCCUGCUCGACCUCUGCCUUCCUGCUCGGCGCCUAAACCCCGCCCCGCACCUAAACCCCGCCCCUACAACCGCAGGGCGCCCUGGGGCGGGAGGGGGAGGCAAGCGCCGAAGGUCUGGGCGGAAUCCGGAAGGGACCAGUUUGGGGGCGAGGGGGCGGAGCCGGGGUCACAGACCAACACCUGGAGCUCUAGGAAGUACUUAGCUCGGUGCAGCGCGCGGGGGCGGGGCCCAGAAAGGAGUGCAAAGCGGGUAAAUUUGCAUAUCCCGCCCCCGUCUGUGAUUGACACCCAGAUAACCCCGCCCCGCGCCCUGGCUACGUUACCCACCCAGAGAGCCCAGCCUCGGACUUAAAUUUCCCAGCCUAAAUCAAGUCCCCGCCCCGCGCCACUAGCAAUCUGGACGAGGCCUGCGUUUUACCGCCGCGGGCGGGUGGACGUCUCUCAGGUUCCUGGAACCGGGACAAUCCUCUCUGGACCUCGGUUUCCCAGUCUGUGAAAAGUGGACAUUAAAAGGACGGACCUCAAAGGAAAGUAGCAAAUGCAUUAUUCACUCACAAAAAACACUUAGUAAGCAUCUACUAGAUUCAUCUCUGCCCUGAUGGAGGCCACAAGCUAGAAGAGGAGACAGACCCAGAAAGAAAUGUAACAUUGCAGUUGUGAUAAAUACUACUGCUACCACCACUACCACUACCACUACUAUUACUACUACAAAGUAGUUCCUGAUCAGAACAGCAAUAAAUAUAGGGAUCUUAGGCUAAAACGGAGGGCAGAAAGGUAAGUUCCCUGAUGAUUUGCCCUUGAGCUAAGCUGACUUAACUAGGUAAAUAGGGAAGAGAAAAGACUCUUAGCAGAUAAUAGCAUAUACAAAGGCCCUGUGGCUGGAAAGAGUGUGGAAAUAUAAGGAACAAAAAGCAGAUCAGUGUGGCCAGAGAAUGAUGCAAGAUUAGCCAGAGAUGGGCUGGGCACAGAUGAAGCAGUCUUUCAGACAGUCGUAGGGGUUUUGUCCCUCUUCCAGAAGCAGAAUUUCCCUAACUCUGGGACAGUGGGCAAAGUGAUUCAAUGUUAUUUAAAUAAUGUAACGAAUCCCUCAGAGUCUCUCCCUUUUCAGCUAGUCUAAGGAUUGUCUUUGGCAAUAAUGUGUCUUUAACCUUUCUAAUCUUCCUUUGUAACAAAGGAAGCUGUCUGGAACCUAACAUUGGCUACUGUUUCAGCAGGGUCUUACGACAGUGUUUCAUUUUCAUUGUAACUUUUAUACACUGUUACCUUCUGAGUAUGGUGAGUGAUUGACAAGUGGGUUAAGUUUAAAAUAUAUAUUACUUAAAUAAUAGUACUGUUGUUAAGCAGAUAUGACAAAAAUCCUGACCCUCGACUGUCUGAAGUUUGGGAAAUUCAAUUCUAAGAGCCAUGGGAAGCCACUGAUUAAUGAGAUAAUAAAUAUUAAGCAUUUAGCACCUGCUUACCCCAGCCAACCUCAUUCACUUACUCAGGACUGGGCUGGGCAUUCAUGGAAUUGACAUUUAUAUGGGGCCAUGGAUGCUAAAUAGAACUUAAAUAUAUCCUUUCAGGAGGUGAGCAGUGCUCUAAAGAAGGCUGAACAGGGUAAAGGGGUAGGUAGCAGAGUGGGGUGCUAUUUUAGAUCAGGUAGCCAAAGAAGGCCUCCCCAGGGAGGUGACAUUUCAGCAGAAAGUGAGGAUGGACUUGUGGAUGUCUGGGAGAAGAGCAUUGCAGGCAGAAGGAACAGCAGGCGCAAAGGUCCUGGGGUUGGAACACACCUGUCCUGUUCUCCAAGCAAAAAGGAGGCCAGUGUAGAUGAAGCAGAGGAAAGCUGGGAUAGUGAAAUGAUCCCGUUUGCAUUUUUAUAAGAUCAGUGCAGCUGCUGCAUAGAAUAGACUGUGGGCGUCAAGGGCAGGGAGGAAGCCACUGCCCUCACCCAGGUGAGAGGUGAAGGCAGCUCACAGCAAGGUGGGAGCCAUGAGGAUGGGGAAAAGCUUGGAGUGGGAUGGAUAGUCAAGUUGACAGCACCUGCGACUGGACGGGGUAUGAAGGAAGGAGAAAAGGGAAGUCAAGGAAGAUUCCUCCUCCGGUGAAAGGCUGGCAGGAAGCAGCAAGAAUCCUCUUUAGGUCCUGCUAGGUUUGGAAUACCUUAGAGCCUCAAGGGGAGACAGAGAGAGAGGACUUGGCCAGACAAGUCUGGAGGUUGGGGGGAGGUCCAGGAUGGAGAGCAAAAUUUGGGAGUCAGCAUAGAGGUAGCAGUUAGGGCCUUAAGACUGAAUAAGCCUACCUAAGGGUGAGUAUAGACAGAGAUGGACCCAGGGCCUGAGGCAGGAACCACAGGUGAGGUGGGAGUGUGAGUGUGGGGGCCUGAAAGCAGGAAGAAUCAGCCCUGUCAAAUCAUUAGCAUUAGACCAGACUCAAGCUGGGAGGGGAGCUCUCGUUCACACUGAGCUACUGGAUGAGGAACCAUUCUUCCAGCUCUCUGGGCUUAGCACAGUGUCUGUACACACUUUCCCAUACAUAUACAUGUACUUGUAUUGCUGUAUGUGCUUUUAUUAUUUUUUUCAAAACAAACAACUUUUUUUAAAUUGAAGUAUAGUUGAUUUACCAUGUUGUGUUUGUUUCAGGUGUACAGCAAAGUGAUUCAGAGAUAUAUAUAGACAUAGAUAGAUGCACCUUUUUUUUUUUAAGUCUUUAUUGAAUUUGUUACAAUAUUUCUUCUGUUUUAUGGGGGGUUUUUUGGCCCUGAGGCAUGUGGGAUCUUAGCUCCCCAACCAGGGAUCGAACCCACAUCCCCUGAAUUGGAAGACGAAGUCUUAACCACUGGACCGCCAGGGAAGUCCCUAGAUAUAUAUUCUUUUUCAAAUUCUUUUCCAUUAUAGGUUAUUACAAGAUAUGAAUAUAGUUUCCUGUGCCAUACAGUAGGUCCUUGCUGUUUAUUUUAUAUAUAGUAGUGAAUAUCUGCUGUAUGUGCUUUUUUAUAAAUUUAUUUAUUU